rnacentral:rRNA from 1 species
GCUUACGGCCAUACCGACUUAGGCAUGCCCGAUCUCGUCUGAUCUCGGAAGCUAAGCAGGGUCGGGCCUGGUUAGUACUCGGAUGGCUGACUGCCUGGGAAUACCAGGUGCUGUAAGCA